rnacentral:rRNA from 1 species
GACGAACGCUGGCGGCGUGCUUAACACAUGCAAGUCGAACGGAAAGGCCCUGCUUUUGUGGGGUGCUCGAGUGGCGAACGGGUGAGUAACACGUGAGUAACCUGCCCUUGACUUUGGGAUAACUUCAGGAAACUGGGGCUAAUACCGGAUAGGAGCUCCUGCUGCAUGGUGGGGGUUGGAAAGUUUCGGCGGUUGGGGAUGGACUCGCGGCUUAUCAGCUUGUUGGUGGGGUAGUGGCUUACCAAGGCUUUGACGGGUAGCCGGCCUGAGAGGUUGACCGGCCACAUUGGGAAUGAGAUACGGCCCAGACUACUACGGGAGGCAGCAGGGGGGAAUAUUGCACAAUGGGCGGAAGCCUGAUGCAGCACGCCGCGUGCGGGAUGACGGCCUUCGGGUUGUAAACCGCUUUCGCCUGUGACGAAGCGUGAGUGACGGUAAUGGGUAAAGAAGCACCGGCUAACUACGUG